rnacentral:rRNA from 1 species
AUGUGUAAUAAGGAAGGAUUCAAGGCAAAAGAUAGUAAAGAGACUAAUGACCCCUUGAGGAAAAGGCGUAAGCAGACAGAUAUGCGAUGCGGUUGUGAUGCCCAUAUCUUUGUUAGACUUUGUGGGGAGAACACCUACAAGAUAGACUCACUGAUUGAGCACCAUGUUCAUGGCCUUGUAUCGCCUAAUAAGCGUCAUUUGAUCAGAUCAAAUCGUAGAGUUAGUGAGAGGGCAAAAAAUACUUUAUACACAUGUCAUAAGGCAAGUAUUGGAACGUCGCAGGCAUACAGGCUCCUGCAAGUUAGUGAGGGUGGAAUUCCGAAUGCUGGGUGCACAAAGAGGGACUUGCAGAAUUACUACCGCGGACUCAGGUAUAAAAUCAGAGAUGCAGAUGCUCAAAUGUUUGUGGCCCAAUUAGCUAGAAAGCAGGAAGUGAAUUCAGCAUUUUUCUAUGAUUUUGAGGUGAAUGAUGAGGGGGAGUUGGUGCGUGUGUUCUGGGCGGAUGCCACCAGCAGGAAGAACUAUAGUCACUUUGGUGAUGUGAUAUCCUUCGAUUCUACAUACACCACUAAUCAGUAUAACAUGAUAUUUGCACCAUUUACAGGGGUUAAACAUCACUUACAAAGUGUCUUUUUUGGUGCUGCAUUCUUAUCAAAUGAGAAGGAUGAGUCAUACAUUUGGUUAUUUCAGACCUUCCUAACAGCAAUGGGAGGGGCAGCACCUAGACUCAUCAUAACCGAUGAAGCCACUAGCAUCAAGAAUGGUAUUGAUAAAGUUCUUCCAACAACUGUGCAUAGGUUGUGCAUGUGGCAUAUAAUGGAAAAGGUUCCUGAAAAGGUUGGACCUUCGAUUAGAGAAGAUUCUGAUUUUUGGACAAGAUUGAACUCGUGUGUUUGGGGUUCGGAAACUUCAACUGAGUUUGAGUCACAAUGGAAUUCCAUCAUUACUGAUUUUGGGUUGGAGGAAAAUGAGUGGUUGGCCAAGAGGUUUAGCAUUCGAGACACAUGGAUACCAGCGUACUUUAUGGAUAUAUCUCUAGCAGGCAUUCUUCGAACCACUUCAAGAUCAGAAAGUGCAAAUUCUUUUUUUAACCGCUUCAUUCAUCGAAGGCUCGCUUUUGUUGAGUUUUGGCUGAGGUUUGACACAGCUUUAGAAUGCCAACGUGAGGAAGAAUUAAUGGCAGACAACAGAAGCAUACAUACCACCCCUCAACUAUUUACACCAUGGACAAUGGAGAAACAAGGUAGUGAGGUAUUCACAUAUGAGGUGUUCGAGAAACUUCAGCUACAGAUUAUUGCUGCUAGAGACCAUUGUUUUGUUCAGAGUAUUACACAAGGUGUGGGGGUAAAAAAUGUGACCCUGAGAGGUCGGUCUGGUAAAGUUAGGGAGGUUUGCUAUGACACUACAAGCAUGACAGCAAACUGUUCGUGCAAGUUGUUUGAGUCAGUCGGUUUUCCAUGUCGCCAUAUUAUCCAAGUGUUGAGGAUUGAAAACCAAAAUGAGCUUCCCAGCCACUACAUUAUGAAAAGAUGGCAGAAGAGGUGCAAAAGGUAA